AGUAAAAUGGCUGAAGUAUAAGCAAUAAAUUGUAAAUUUAUUUAUAAGAUAUAAUCUUUUUUACUA
rnacentral:tRNA from 1 species